UAGGGAAUCUUCGGCAAUGGACGAAAGUCUGACCGAGCAACGCCGCGUGAGUGAAGAAGGUUUUCGGAUCGUAAAACUCUGUUGUUAGAGAAGAACAAGGACGUUAGUAACUGAACGUCCCCUGACGGUAUCUAACCAGAAAGCCACGGCUAACUACGUGCCAGCAGCCGCGGUAAUACGUAGGUGGCAAGCGUUGUCCGGAUUUAUUGGGGGUAAAGCGAGCGCAGGCGGGUUCUUAAGUCUGAUGUGAAAGCCCCCGGCUCAACCGGGGAGGGUCAUUGGAAACUGGGAGACUUGAGUGCAGAAGAGGAGAGUGGAAUUCCAUGUGUAGCGGUGAAAUGCGUAGAUAUAUGGAGGAACACCAGUGGCGAAGGCGGCUCUCUGGUCUGUAACUGACGCUGAGGCUCGAAAGCGUGGGGAGCAAACAGG
rnacentral:rRNA from 1 species